CUAGACCGCUUUUUCGAUUAAACCCGAUUUGACUGAAAUUAAUCAAUCAGACCGAUUUGGGUUUAGCGAUUUUGAUCUGCUGCGCUUUUUUUGCGGCUCUGGUUCGCCGGUUUCGUCUCCUUUCUUGUCUGGUUUGCGAUCUUCGGUGUCUCCCUCCCUGUCUGUGCUCUGCUCUCUUUCAGCGGAAUCUCUCUCAACCGAUAUCCUCCUCUCAAUCACUCUAUAUUAGUUAUCUCUGUUACUGGACGUAAGGUGUUACGUGAUGCUAUUAGUUGGACAACAGAGAGAAUGCCUUGAAUGAACCACUGAGAAAUGAAGUUUUGGGGAGGCUUUUUAGUGAUCAUUGGUUCCAUUUCCUUUGUUGGAUUUGUGUUUGCAGCUAUAGUCUCCAAGUUGUUUCCACUCUCUGACAAUCCCGUUAUCAAAGCUAUUCAGAAUGACAGGUACUACUGCUUCUUGGCUCCACUGACUUUACCAGCUCUACUGGUUGCUGUUUACUUUCAUUGGCUUAGCAUGAAGCUCUUCAAGCACGCAUGAUACAUAUCGCGUAGCAAAAACAUCUUUCUCCAAGGUAAGGUUCUUUCUGCAGGUGUAUAUGAUGUCUUUGCAGAGGGAACAAUAACAUCUGGUCCGAAGCAUUCUUCUGAGGCUGUCCGAUCACAGUUGUUUUGUCACAUCUCAUGGUUGGAAGGAAUUGUGGAUUUUCUGGAGAUGAGUUUUGUGUAGAAUGGUUAUAAGCACGGUUCGAUUACUACUACAUUGUUGCAGACUCCGAAAGAUUCAAUAUUGUAACCCGGGAUAAUUUGUGUGCUAUACUUGCUAUUAUUAUCUGUCUUUAGAAAGCAGAUUGUAACCAACUUAUGUAAUCACAUAUUCAUGUUAUAAAGUCACUUUCACAUUGCCAUCAAA